rnacentral:rRNA from 1 species
UACGUAGGUGGCAAGCGUUGUCCGGAAUUAUUGGGCGUAAAGCGCGCGCAGGCGGCCUCUUAAGUCUGAUGUGAAAGCCCCCGGCUCAACCGGGGAGGGCCAUUGGAAACUGGGAGGCUUGAGUAUAGGAGAGAAGAGUGGAAUUCCACGUGUAGCGGUGAAAUGCGCGAGAUGUGGAGGAACACCAGUGGCGAAGGCGACUCUUUGGCCUAUAACCUGACGCUGAGGAGCGAAAGCGUGGGGAGCGAACAGG